rnacentral:rRNA from 1 species
GACGAACGCUGGCGGCGUGCCUAAUACAUGCAAGUAGAACGCUGAAGAGAGGAGCUUGCUCUUCUUGGAUGAGUUGCGAACGGGUGAGUAACGCGUAGGUAACCUGCCUGGUAGCGGGGGAUAACUAUUGGAAACGAUAGCUAAUACCGCAUAAAAUUGAUUAUUGCAUGAUAAUUAAUUGAAAGAUGCAACUGCAUCACUACCAGAUGGACCUGCGUUGUAUUAGCUAGUUGGUGAGGUAACGGCUCACCAAGGCGACGAUACAUAGCCGACCUGAGAGGGUGAUCGGCCACACUGGGACUGAGACACGGCCCAGACACCUACGGGAGGCAGCAGUAGGGAAUCUUCGGCAAUGGGGGGAACCCUGACCGAGCAACGCCGCGUGAGUGAAGAAGGUUUUCGGAUCGUAAAGCUCUGUUGUAAGAGAAGAACGGGUGUGAGAGUGGAAAGUUCACACUGUGACGGUAUCUUACCAGAAAGGGACGGCUAACUACGUGCCAGCAGCCGCGGUAAUACGUAGGUCCCGAGCGUUGUCCGGAUUUAUUGGGCGUAAAGCGAGCGCAGGCGGUUAGAUAAGUCUGAAGUUAAAGGCUGUGGCUUAACCAUAGUAUGCUUUGGAAACUGUUUAACUUGAGUGCAGAAGGGGAGAGUGGAAUUCCAUGUGUAGCGGUGAAAUGCGUAGAUAUAUGGAGGAACACCGGUGGCGAAAGCGGCUCUCUGGUCUGUAACUGACGCUGAGGCUCGAAAGCGUGGGGAGCAAACAGGAUUAGAUACCCUGGUAGUCCACGCCGUAAACGAUGAGUGCUAGGUGUUAGGCCCUUUCCGGGGCUUAGUGCCGCAGCUAACGCAUUAAGCACUCCGCCUGGGGAGUACGACCGCAAGGUUGAAACUCAAAGGAAUUGACGGGGGCCCGCACAAGCGGUGGAGCAUGUGGUUUAAUUCGAAGCAACGCGAAGAACCUUACCAGGUCUUGACAUCCCUCUGACCGCUCUAGAGAUAGAGUUUUCCUUCGGGACAGAGGUGACAGGUGGUGCAUGGUUGUCGUCAGCUCGUGUCGUGAGAUGUUGGGUUAAGUCCCGCAACGAGCGCAACCCCUAUUGUUAGUUGCCAUCAUUCAGUUGGGCACUCUAGCGAGACUGCCGGUAAUAAACCGGAGGAAGGUGGGGAUGACGUCAAAUCAUCAUGCCCCUUAUGACCUGGGCUACACACGUGCUACAAUGGCUGGUACAACGAGUCGCAAGCCGGUGACGGCAAGCUAAUCUCUGAAAGCCAGUCUCAGUUCGGAUUGUAGGCUGCAACUCGCCUACAUGAAGUCGGAAUCGCUAGUAAUCGCGGAUCAGCACGCCGCGGUGAAUACGUUCCCGGGCCU